rnacentral:rRNA from 1 species
GCCUACCAUGCAAGUCGAGCGGAACGAGUUAUCUGAACCUUCGGGGAACGAUAACGGCGUCGAGCGGCGGACGGGUGAGUAAUGCCUAGGAAAUUGCCCUGAUGUGGGGGAUAACCAUUGGAAACGAUGGCUAAUACCGCAUGAUGCCUACGGGCCAAAGAGGGGGACCUUCGGGCCUCUCGCGUCAGGAUAUGCCUAGGUGGGAUUAGCUAGUUGGUGAGGUAAGGGCUCACCAAGGCGACGAUCCCUAGCUGGUCUGAGAGGAUGAUCAGCCACACUGGAACUGAGACACGGUCCAGACUCCUACGGGAGGCAGCA